CAGCAUGCGAGCAGACAUGGGGCCAGAGGUUUCAGUGACCUCCCUGCAGGGAACCAGACCCAAUGGCCUCUGCACAGGGAAGAGGGGGGGACCCAAAGGAGCCUUCUGUGCUCUAGCACUAGAUUUCUUGUCUAGCUUCAUAUAUUUGGUUUAUUCUCCAGGACAGGAACCUGGGAAUCAGGAAUUGGGAAACAGCACUGUGACCAGACCUUAUGCAAUGCCCUGCAGCCUUUGUGGAGGUACAGAAUGGCACUGGAAUCCUGUUAGUGCCCAUAACAGGGCAGGUACCUGUGACUUCAGGAUACCUGCUUGUGCCUAAGCCUCUUCUCCCUGUGUUCUUUUCUUUUGGGAACAGAGUCAGAA